rnacentral:rRNA from 1 species
AAAUUGAAGAGUUUGAUCAUGGCUCAGAUUGAACGCUGGCGGCAGGCCUAACACAUGCAAGUCGAACGGUAACAGGAAGCAGCUUGCUGCUUCGCUGACGAGUGGCGGACGGGUGAGUAAUGUCUGGGAAACUGCCUGAUGGAGGGGGAUAACUACUGGAAACGGUAGCUAAUACCGCAUAAUGUCGCAAGACCAAAGAGGGGGACCUUCGGGCCUCUUGCCAUCGGAUGUGCCCAGAUGGGAUUAGCUUGUUGGUGGGGUAACAGCUCACC